rnacentral:rRNA from 1 species
UACGUAGGGUGCAAGCGUUUGUCCGGAUUUAUUGGGCGUAAAGAGCUCGUAGGCGGCUUGUCGCGUCGAAUGUGAAAACUCGGGGCUCAACCCCGCGCUUGCAUUCGAUACGGGCAGGCUCGAGUUCGGUAGGGGGAGACUGGAUUCCUGGUGUAGCGGUGGAAUGCGCAGAUAUCAGGAGGAACACCAAUAGCGAAGGCAGCUCGCUGGGACGUUACUGACACUAAGGCGCGAAAGCGUGGGGAGCGAACGAGG